GGAAAGCCGCAGCUUCCAGUGCCAUUCCUCUCUUCCUACAAGGAGCUCACCACCAAACCUUCUCCUUGAUGAGGUGUCAGAAAGGUUGCGCUUUUAUAGACUCAAGGUUGGCAUCAUCAAGAAUAGAGAGGAAAAGUUGGAGGGCCUGAUGAGAGACACAAGUGAAAGAAAUGAAGGGGUUCAGAAGAUUCUGCCUGGUGUUGGACGUGUGUGUGUUUCUGUCUGCAGCGGGAGGAUAGAUGUGAGGCCAUGUGAGCUUCAACUUCUAGCUUUGAGUUCUCACUCCUCCUCCUCCCUCUCCGCAAUCAUCUGCAGCAAGUACUGCCACUGAUGCUGCAAACCCAUGUGGCCUGUGACACACUUCCAUGGGAUACUGAUCCUGAGGACUUGUUUCUUCUCUUUGACCGAUGGAAUACGUACUCGGGUCGUGUCAAUAGCCUACGGUGAGCUGCUGUGUUGUCUUCUCUCCUUGCUGUUACGUUUGGGAUUCGCUCUCCCCGCAAUUAAGUUUGAUUUUAUCAUAGGAUUUGAUUCCUCAAGAUUCUCUUUACCUUUUUGCUUAGGUUUUACUUAGGAUUAAAUUAUUGCCAGGUAUUUGAUUAUGACACUUGCAUAUAUUGAAUCUUUCGAGCUCUGACAACCUACUCUGCAGAUGUGCUUCAAGGGUUCACAGGUGGGGGUAUAUUCCCUGUGCUUUCUGAGCUAAAACAGGAAGACUAAAGCAUAAGGUAUAGUAAUUACUAUUGUCCUAAAGAUUACCUAUAUCAAUCAGUAGAGGAUUUAUAUUUGAUCUAGCAAUUUGGUCAAUCUCCUGGCAUAGAUUUCUUGAGCUUUGGAGAUGUGUGAGGGAUGUUUGAUUUCGACCUUCGAACAAGGUCUUCUUACUAACUAACUAGAAUUGACUGGAUCAUUAGCCUUUUCUCUUGGACAACACUUGCAUUCCUCAGUUUGCAGGGAAGGCAAAAAAAUGUGGAUGCUUAGUGAGAGACUUGUGUAUUAUUUUGUGCCAGUCCGUGCAGCCUAGUAAAAUGUUAUUACUUGGAUGAUCAGUAGAUGUCGCCCGGUGCCACACGGUUCAGACAUAUUCAACUAAA